CUGCCUUACAAUAUAAGGGGUGAGACAAUAUAUUGUUUUUAAAUACAUAUAUUCUCCAUCCAGGACACUCCCUUAUGGUCAAGAAAAGUCACAGGGACUGAAUGUACUCUCAUGCAUGAAACAACUGAAAAAGAAAACAACAAAAAACACAAAAUCUAUGAAACAACAACAGAAGACAUUGGACAUCGGGCACCAAAGAGCAGUGAUCUCUGAGAGAUGACAGCUAAACCAAGGUUCAGAGAAAGCUGCAAUGCAGACACCAUUCAGAUGCCACGGUAGGGACUCUCUUCUCCUGGAAGGACAAGGUGGGAACAGAAACAUCAAUUUGUAACAGCGACCACAAAGUAAGGUAUCUGAGCCUACAAAUAAACACAUCACCUUUCUAUGAAAAUGAAUAAACUC